rnacentral:rRNA from 1 species
AUUGAACGCUGGCGGCAUGCCUUACACAUGCAAGUCGAACGGCAGCGCGGGGCAACCUGGCGGCGAGUGGCGAACGGGUGAGUAACAUAUCGGAACAUACCCUAGAGUGGGGGAUAACGUAGCGAAAGUUACGCUAAUACCGCAUACGCACUAAGGUGGAAAGUGGGGGAUCUUCGGACCUCAUGCUCAUGGAGUGGCCGAUAUCUGAUUAGCUAGUUGGUGAGGUAAAGGCUCACCAAGGCGACGAUCAGUAGCUGGUUUGAGAGAACGACCAGCCACACUGGAACUGAGACACGGCCCAGACUCCUACGGGAGGCAGCAGUGGGGGAAUUUUGGACAAUGGGGGGCAACCCUGAUCCAGCAAUGCCGCGUGAGUGAAGAAGGCCU